rnacentral:rRNA from 1 species
GACAGAGGGGGCAAGCGUUGCUCGGAAUUACUGGGCGUAAAGGGCGCGUAGGCGGGAUGGCAAGUCGGUCGUGAAAUCCCUCGGCUCAACCGAGGAACGUCGAUCGAUACUGCUGUUCUUGAGGAUUGCAGAGGAGACUGGAAUUCCCGGUGUAGCGGUGAAAUGUGUAGAGAUCGGGAGGAACACCGGCGGCGAAGGCGGGUCUCUGGGCAAUUCCUGACGCGUGAGG